rnacentral:rRNA from 1 species
GCGGCGGACGGGUGAGUAUGUCUGGGAACUGCCUGAUGGAGGGGGAUAACUACUGAAACGGUAGCUAAUACCGCAUAACGUCGCAAGACCAAAGAGGGGGACCUUCGGGCCUCUUGCCAUCAGAUGUGCCCAGAUGGGAUUACUAGUAGUGGGGUAACGGCUCACCUAGCGACGAUCCCUACUGGUCUGAAGGAUGACCACCACACUGGAACUGAAACACGGUCCAACUCCUACGGGAGGCACAGUGGGGAAUAUUGCACAAUGGGCGCAAGCCUGAUGCAGCCAUGCCGCGUGUAUGAAGAAGGCCUUCGGGUUGUAAAGUACUUUCAGCGGGGAGGAAGGUGUUGUGGUUAAUAACCACAGCAAUUGACGUUACCCGCAAAGAAGCACCGGCUAACUCCGUGCCAGCAGCCGCGGUAAUACGGAGGGUGCAAGCGUUAAUCGGAAUUACUGGGCGUAAAGCGCACGCAGGCGGUCUGUCAAGUCGGAUGUGAAAUCCCCGGGCUCAACCUGGGAACUGCAUUCGAAACUGGGCAGGCUAGAGUCUUGUAGAGGGGGGUAGAAUUCCAGGUGUAGCGGUGAAAUGCGUAAAGAUCUGGA